CUUUUCUUUAUCCCGCUGCUAGAUGUUUCAUUUUAGAUGUUAAGGAUUCUAGCUGGACAGGCAAUGCUGACUUUUUUGCUGUUGAUGAAUGUAUGACUAAAUGCUGGCGGAUGCUAAUUUAAAUUUCUGAGGAACAAGACCUUACUGCUGAACAAAAAACACUAAAAGGAGUCGGACAUGGAUGGUGCGUAAAAGACAAAUGCUAAAAGGAAUAAGACAACGCCACAGGAUUAAUACUAAAUCUAAACCAAUCUUGCUGGGCAAAAAUCAAACCAACAACAAUUAAGACAACGCAGCUCCGGACACUGGAAUCAAUACAAUUGAGACAACACUGCUGCAAAUGAAACUCUAAAAUUUAAACAAUAUUUCUGACAGUUCUAAUUUUUAAGACAUAAUAAAUUCAAUAUAAUAUGCAAUACAAUAUAAUCGGUUGAGCUCUGGUGUAAACGGAUUGAAACAGCGGUUUUAAAGUUAUAAUCAUUCUGGUCUGGACAUUAUAAAAUCCACAGGGAGUGAAGCGUUUUACGUAUGAAAUAACAGUAACAACGGGAGUUAAUUUAAAUGUUCAUAGAUGAAAGAGGAAGAGAGAAAUAGGCAGGACCUUUGGAUCCCGGAUAUGAACUGUUGAUCCACGGAUCAAUCAUUUGGCGGCUGGAUUCCAAAACCCUCAAGGCCACAUGUUAAAAUGAGCAAGACAUUUAAACUCAGGCGAUAAUUUUAAAAGUAAGUAAUGCUGCUGGGUGUCAAACCUAAAAUCUCUUAAGACUGAGAAGAGACAACGCUUUUCUGGACAAAUUCAUUUCUCUAAGGAUGGAGACAACGCUUCUCAAGUAGUGAGAAAUUUAAAUCUUUUAGGACUAAUAUGAUGUCACGGUGGACAAAUUAAAAUGUAGAGGAAUUAAAACAACCCCGCGGAGUACAAAUUAAAAUCUUUAAGGAUAAAAGAAAAAGACAGAAAUAAAUGCCAAGUUUCAGGGUGUAAUAGCGGUGCUUCCCCACACGGUGCGCUCUAAUAUAGUAAAUUGUUCUCACCUGUACCUUCAUUAAUCCAGUCUCCCAGUUUUAAUCUUCCAGGUUUUAGCUGCUCAUCGCUGGAUUCUUUCGUGGUUGUCCAUGUGGUUCCUGUCCUCCUGGUUCCUGUUUGUUGGAUCUCCUGAGCCUGGAAUCCUCCACCUUCAACACCGUCUGUCAGGUGGAGGAAGAUAAGAGAACCCAGUUGACGAAAAAAGUAAGAACAUUUCUAUCUACAAAACAUAACUAAACAUUUCAGAUGGAGCUGCAUAGAGUUGAGCUGAAAGUUACAAACUGGUUCUGUCUGCUGUCCAUGAUUAUUUUCCUCUUUAACUCUGUUGUCUUUUCUCUUUAUUUCAUUUCUCUGUCAACUCAUGUCACAUGACUUGAGUUGACCAACAAAUAAAACAGAAGACCUGCUCCACCUGCUGAUCUACUGGUUGGAAGAGAUUGUGGAAAAGCGAGACAAGACAACAACUUUUGACUAAUGAGGAGAGAGAAGACACAGAGGACUGAGGAGACGCAGAAAAUCCUGCUGGAAAUCAAUAAAAAUGUUUCCUGAUGGAACAGGGGGACGGCUGAGGACAGGACACAACAUAAAGAGACAGAGACCAUGUGAAGUUGGAUCUCCUGAGCCUGGAAUCCUCCACCUUCAACACCGUCUGUCAGGUGGAGGAAGAUAAGAGAACCCAGUUGACGAAAAAAGUAAGAACAUUUCUAUCUACAAAACAUAACUAAACAUUUCAGAUGGAGCUGCAUAGAGUUGAGCUGAAAGUUACAAACUGGUUCUGUCUGCUGUCCAUGAUUAUUUUCCUCUUUAACUCUGUUGUCUUUUCUCUUUAUUUCAUUUCUCUGUCAACUCAUGUCACAUGACUUGAGUUGACCAACAAAUAAAACAGAAGACCUGCUCCACCUGCUGAUCUACUGGUUGGAAGAGAUUGUGGAAAAGCGAGACAAGACAACAACUUUUGACUAAUGAGGAGAGAGAAGACACAGAGGACUGAGGAGACGCAGAAAAUCCUGCUGGAAAUCAAUAAAAAUGUUUCCUGAUGGAACAGGGGGACGGCUGAGGACAGGACACAACAUAAAGAGACAGAGACCAUGUGAAAUUCAAGGAUGGCCUUUCAACCCUGGAUUUCAUUUAUGCUUUGGAGCUUCAUGCUUCUGUGUUCAGGCCCUUUGUGUGCGGAAAAGCUGACAUCAGAAAUGUGAGAGGAAAUCUUUGAAGUUCAGCUCAGCGAAAAGGGCAGCACCAGACGACAAGAAGAAACCAGACUGCUAGGAUUCUCCUUGAGACAGACCAAACCUCGCUUUCCUGUUCAAACUCUGACAAGAUACCAAAGCCCAAGACAUACGAUCAGUUUCAAAGAAGACAUGAACUUUGAAUUACAAAACUCUUUGGACUUUAUUAAGUUCAAAUACAGAAUCACAAAACAUAAAUGUGGAUGUUGGCCUGUGAAGGCAGAUGUUAACUUGUGAAACCUGCUCUGUCAAAGUUCUGACUCUGCUGCAUUGUGGUUGUUUGACAACCUUUAAAUUUUAGACUCAUUUAUUUCCAAGUCCACCAUGUUUUCUAGUCUUGUGUAGUUUUCCACAUAGGAUUCCCAAGUUAGUGGAUGCACUAGGCCACUGUCUCUGGAGGUCCUCAAACUGUCCCUAAAGACGGUCAUGGCCACAUUGACUGCUGAUUGACUCGGUCAUAAACUGUCCCAAUUCCUCCUGGGAGUCUGGGAACCUACAGUCUGUUCUGCCAAACCCAGGAGUAAAAUAUGCAUCAAAACAGGACACAUAGUUUAGUUAUAUAUUUAUAUUUCUUCAUUCAACUGUCACUACCAACUGCUACGACUAUUGUUGAAAACUGUUGUAAUGUUUAAUUGUAUUUACAUAUAAAUAUUAGAAAUGAAAAUGUUUAUGUCAUCAGAAACUGUUCCAAUAAAAAGUGACAUAUUAUUAACACAUG